rnacentral:rRNA from 1 species
GAUGAACGCUGACAGAAUGCUUAACACAUGCAAGUCAACUGAAUUCGGGUUUUUAACUUAGAUUUGGGUGGCGGACGGGUGAGUAACGCGUAAAGAACUUGCCUCACAGCUAGGGACAACAUUUAGAAAUGAAUGCUAAUACCUGAUAUUAUGAUUUUAAGGCAUCUUAGAAUUAUGAAAGCUAUAUGCACUGUGAGAGAGCUUUGCGUCCCAUUAGUUAGUUGGAGAGGUAACAGCUCACCAAGGCGAUGAUGGGUAGCCGGCCUGAGAGGGUGAACGGCCACAAGGGGACUGAGACACGGCCCUUACUCCUACGGGAGGCAGCAGUGGGGAAUAUUGGACAAUGGACCGAGAGUCUGAUCCAGCAAUUCUGUGUGCACGAUGAAGUUUUUCGGAAUGUAAGGUGCUUUCAGUUGGGAAGAAAUAAAUGACGGUACCAACAGAAGAAGUGACGGCUAAAUACGUGCCAGCAGCCGCGGUAAUACGUAUGUCACGAGCGUUAUCCGGAUUUAUUGGGCGUAAAGCGCGUCUAGGUGGUUAUGUAAGUCUGAUGUGAAAAUGCAGGGCUCAACUCUGUAUUGCGUUGGAAACUGUAUAACUAGAGUACUGGAGAGGUAAGCGGAACUACAAGUGUAGAGGUGAAAUUCGUAGAUAUUUGUAGGAAUGCCGAUGGGGAAGCCAGCUUACUGGACAGAUACUGACGCUAAAGCGCGAAAGCGUGGGUAGCAAACAGG